GAACCAUAGCUCAGUGGCAGAUCAUCUGUAUUGCAAGCAGAAGGUCCUGAGUUCAAGUCCUGGCAUCACCA